GAUGAACGCUGGCGGCGUGCCUAAUACAUGCAAGUCGAGCGAACGGACGAGAAGCUUGCUUCUCUGAUGUUAGCGGCGGACGGGUGAGUAACACGUGGAUAACCUACCUAUAAGACUGGGAUAACUUCGGGAAACCGUAGCUAAUACCGGAUAAUAUUUUGAACCGCAUGGUUCAAAAGUGAAAGACGGUCUUGCUGUCACUUAUAGAUGGAUCCGCGCUGCAUUAGCUAGUUGGUAAGGUAACGGCUUACCAAGGCAACGAUGCAUAGCCGACCUGAGAGGGUGAUCGGCCACACUGGAACUGAGACACGGUCCAGACUCCUACGGGAGGCAGCAGUAGGGAAUCUUCCGCAAUGGGCUAAAGCCUGACGGAGCAACGCCGCGUGAGUGAUGAAGGUCUUCGGAUCGUAAAACUCUGUUAUUAGGGAAGAACAUAUGUGUAAGUAACUGUGCACAUCUUGACGGUACCUAAUCAGAAAGCCACGGCUAACUACGUG
rnacentral:rRNA from 1 species